UCAGUGCAAAGUGAAAUUUAACGUUACCUCAAUGUGUUCUUAGCCAGCUAACUUCAAGUAACUUAACGUCAGCUUUUCUGUUAACAUUACUGCACCGAAAACAGAACUUUUUCGCUUGCCAGACCAAAGCUCACGUAACAAGGAGCAGCCCCAGAUGAAAAACCGACCAGAUGACGACUGUCUGGAAAACUUUCAGCCACUGGUGAUACGUUACUUAAGCUUACGUUAGCUAACGGUUGCUAACGUUAGCAUAACAGGAAUGCGGCAAACUGACUCCACAUACUGCCUCCGGUCAUCCCAGUGUAACGUUACGGUUAACGUUAUACAAUAAAAGUCACAGAACAGAAAAAAAAUAAAAAAUAAACACACACACACAGCGCUGCAAAGAAAGCUGGGAUCUCUCGAACUCGAAACUAGUAAUUACUGAACAGUUUUUUAAUCAACAUUGUGCAACUUUGGGCAAGGGUCACAGGUGUUACCAAUCAGCUGCAACACAUUUGCAAACACUGCUGUGGUUAAAAAUGCAGAAAAAAUAAAAAAAAAAUAAAAAAAAUCAGCGCGCUUACAUACACAAGUGUGUUCAAGGCACCACCGUUUCCGUUUCAAAAUGUGUUUUGCUAAGUUUCGUCUACUGAAUUCAGCCUAGAUCCAAUGGCGACGUCAAGCUCCUCCAGUGGCGCCCUCGCCCCCUUCACGUUUCAGCAUUAUUUGGCGCCAAGCGUAUCAAACGUCCCGUAAUCGGACUGUGUUCCCAGAUGAGACGCAGCAGAGCGGUGAGCUACUCAGCAUGAUCGUAGAUGUCAGACUCCACACAGUUUAGUCUCCGGUCUGGGAGACCUUGAGUAGUACAGCACCUGGCAGCUCUUCCUGGCUCACAGCACCCCCCUAGAGACCUUCAUCCCCAUCCUGCAGCACCUUAAAUAUAAAGAACACCUGGAUGCCUUGUCCUGUCUGCUGCUUCUCCGCAGAAAGAAGUACGACAGGUUCACACCUGGACACUCGUCUUAGAGACUCCUGGGUCCCCAUUAACGUCUGUGUGUCCCAGGCCCAGUGAAGAGAUGGUGAAGAUGGUCCUGAGUUGUCCCUGUCACCCCCGAGGACCAGUUCACCACCAGCAUCCUGAGACACUGGGCGUCCAAUGACAACGCGCUGGGAGAACACAUCAAGGCCCAGCUGAUCAAGAACAACCAGCUCCGUGAGAAAGGUGUACAAAGACUUCCAGACCAACCCUCCCAAGUCCUGCUGUAAGGCUCAUCCCUCCUCGCUUCCGCUCAACAAUGAGGAGGAGACCGCCUCCUGCAGUGCCUCAGUACGUACCCACACCUCCACCUGCUCCUGUGUGAGGACAGCCUGAAUCUGCGUCUCGUUCUUUGCAGGGUGAUUCCGGGCGAGGGCCGAGUCUGUCCCUCCAUAUCUACCACACGACUCUUCAACUCCUUCAGCUGGGAGGGGAUGAUGAAACAUUGAAGGGCUCGGUCCAGCAGCCUCUUUUGCUCCUCCAAGUCACUCUUGCCCCUCCUCAGAGCUUCCCUCUCCAGAUCUCUCUCCUCUAGCCGCCGAGUCAGCUCGUCCCUCUCCUUGCAUAGGCGGGUGGUUCCUCUCUUGGCCUCCUCCAGUUGAGACUUCAGGGAGCGGUUUUCAUCUUCCAGAGCUUCCAACGCCUCCUCGGCCUCCGAGUUCCGCGGCACACUGGAGUGAAGCCUUGUCUGGAGAAUGAGAAAAUAUCCGCUGAUGAACAUGGGCCUACAGCGUGUGGCUUCAUUAGCAUUUUUUCACCAUCAUGCUGUUGGUGCCGUGGUCCACCAGAGUCCCCGAAGACUCAGCUGAUGACUGUCGAGAGGAGUGGAUCAAGAGAGAAACAUGCAGAAUAUAGCGACUGGGCAUACAAUAUUAUAAACGUUCCUUUAAAAUGAUCCGAGAUGACGCUUCACCUCCUUCGCCUUCUCGAGCGCCUUUUCCAGCUUGGCUUUGUCUUUCUGCGACUGCUCCUUCAACCUGCUGAUCUCAGACAGAAGCUCAGCCUCUUUCUCUCCACUCGCUUUCUUCAGGGCUUGAAGUGCCUCCUUCUUCUCGUUUAACUCGCACUUCUGCUUGUCCAGGUCGGUGCAAGCCCGCUUCAGAUCAUCAUGGCAACGGCGAAGCUCCUUAGGAUAAACAAUCAGAGAUGGAUAAUGCAUGCUUGAGUAAGAGGGAAUGAGCAGGGGCACAUAACAAUGUGUUAUUGUUAGAUGCUGUAAUGUUCUGACAGAUUUAGAAAAAUAACAUACUGUAAAGGUAUUCUACCCACACAGCGAGCCUAAUCGGUGUUCUGUCUGGUGACUGACGUGUGAAUUACCUCUGCUAAAGAACGGUUAUCGUCAGAUGCAGGCAUUUGUUUCUUCAUGGUGAGCAGAGAAUCCUGAAGAUCCUUUAGCUUGCCCUCAAAUUCUUCCUUCUCCAAACGGGAUUUCAUUAGCCUGCGGAGAGAAAGUAGAUGUUGAAGAACUCACAGUGGUAACAGUGGCUCUAUAAACUACACACACACACACACACACACACACACACACACACACACACACACACACUCUCUGCAGGGCCAAAAGCACACGUGCACAAACCAAAGAUAGCAACAAACAAAGCACAAGGGAGUAAAACUACUGCACUAAACCAUAAAACAUCACUGCAUCCACAAUGUGUCUUUUGUUUGACAAUAAGGACUUUCAUUGUACCUUAAAUAGAGAUACAUGACUUACUUAUUUAAUCAGUUAUGUUUAUUAGCAAUUAAAUCGGGAAAGGCAAUGAGAUGGGAUGACAUCAUUAAAACAAAAUCAGUUACGUCAAUAUCUGAAUGUUGAUUGGUUUGAAUGACUGACAUGAUUGGGGUUAUUAUCACUGUAUUACUACUGCUACUUUUACUGUUACUGUUGUUAGUAAGGGGUUCACUGACCUAAUGAUCAAAAUAGAUAUCUAAUGUUUGAGCUUUUCAAGUGAAUUUGAAGUGAAUAUCAGAUGAUGUUCAUUUUAAACUAGGCUAAACCUACACAAACCAAACACAGUGAGAUAGAUUUUCUCUCUCACAUUCGACUGCUGAUGUGCUCCCCGCUCCUGCCGAUUGAAAAGUCAAGUGAAAGAGUGCAUGCAUUAAAAAUAAUGUAAUAUUGCAGGUCUGAACCAAAAAAACAGUGGACUAUAGUUUCCGAGAACUACAGUUUUUAGUGAGCACUUUAACGGAAAAAUAUCAAAUAUGAGUGUACAUGAUGCUUUAUUAAGGAUGGAGUGUGGUGAUGCAAGUUCAAAGCAAUAAAGCAUAGCUGUGAAUAUAAACCCAUUUCCA